rnacentral:tRNA from 1 species
GCCUGGGUGGCUCAGUCGGUUAAGCGUCUGACUUCAACUCAGGUCAUGAUCUCACGGUUUGUGAGUUCGAGCCCCAUGUCGGGCU